rnacentral:rRNA from 1 species
UACGGAAGGGGCAAGCGUUGUUCGGAAUCAUUGGGCGUAAAGGGCGCGUAGGUGGUUCUGUAUGUCUACCGUGAAAGCGUACGGCUCAACCGUAUUUUGUCGGUAGAAACUGCAGGACUUGAGGCUGGGAGGGGCUGGUGGAAUUCCCUGUGUAGCGGUGAAAUGCGUAGAGAGUGGGGGAGAACACUCGUGGCGAAGGCGGCCAGCUAGACCAGUUCUGACACUGAGGCGCGACAGCGUGGGGAGCAAACAGG